rnacentral:lncRNA from 1 species
CUUCAAAUGCUUUCAUGACUACUAGAAAUAUAUAUAUAUUUUUUCUCUUCAAAACAAUGCAACGCAUAUUCUUGGCUUUCCCUUCAAGCAAUGGGCCCCCACGUGGGGAAGUCAUUUUCGUGUCUGUGAGCAAAUGCGGUGAUUAGGUUGUCAGUGACCUUACAGUCAUUAUUAGUUUUCACAAGCCCUCAGUGAACUUCAUGUCUGAGCUCUCCUUCAGUUCAGGGUUGAUGUGCAAUGACUCAUGUACCCGCUGUAAUACUCCAAAACUACUGUGUGAUUCCUUUCCUCUCUCCUUUCCCCUCUGCAUUUCACUUUCCCUUCAUAUCUCAUGAGCACAUAGUUCCUUCUUUAAUGACUAAUUGUAUUGAGUGCCAUGACCAGUCUUAGGAGUGUUGUAAUAUGAAUGAAGCAAUCAAAACUCUCCACUUGAUCACUCCUGUUUAUUAUUUUUUAAAGAAAGAUGAAAGUUGUCAUGUGCAAAUGGGGGCAUUAAUUCCUUUACCUAUUCCACAACUUUAGCUCAAAUAUGCCAAGGAAAUAGAGUGUACGUGUGAGUGUGUGUGCCUGUGCUUGAAGCAAGAGAAUCGAAGGAGACCAGCAAGCCUCAAAGUUAAGUAAAAUUUGGAAUCAACAUUUAAAUUAGGUAUGCUUUAUGGCUUGAUGUUAUUUGAAAGCUGAAUAGCUGAUGUCAAAAAUAGACUUCCCUUUCUUUCCAAAGUGUGGCAAAAAUAACCACAUGCUUUUCUUGGAUUCCUGACUCUCACCCCUAAGGGUUUUCUUGUAUAGGAACCAACAAUUCCUUGGAUGGAAACACUGGAUAGGCUAGUCAUUAUUUUGAGAUUUAGGAGAUUGCAGAUUCUUGGCAGACUGUGGUUGUUUUUCUAGAGUAGUAGGCAAGUAGUUGGACAAAAAGCAAGAAGCUGAUCCAUGUUGCUGGCUUUGGGUUCUUCGUGAACAAAUGAGACAAGGCUGAAAAUUCUAUGCGCAUUCUACCCAGCUUCUUAGAAGGUCCUCACAGAAGAUGAGAUGGAUCACGUGGCCACCUUCACUGCCUCCUUCCCCACUUUACUCCUUCCAGGAGUCUAGGGACUCCUGUCUGCUGGGAUCAUUCUCCAAAAUAACCUUCCUUUACAGAAACCCUUGUCACAGGCUCUGUUUCCUGCGCGGAACCCAGACUGAGACACUAAAAUGAUACAAUAGAAUGAAGACAUGAAUGUGAAUUGCUCAGGGGUUGGUUGGAUUGUAUAUCUCUGUGAAUAGGGUUCAAAGAGAAGUUUGGGAAACACUGGACUAGAUGACCACUGGCAUCACAGCGUGUAGAAUUAGAACCUUCACAUCCCCAUCCAGCUAUAACAGGUUUAUGAGUAUCUAGGUCUUCCACGAAGAACAGUAGGAGAAGAUCCCCAAGCCUCGUCAGACCUGUUGAAUAUCCAUGAGUAUGUGUGACAUCCAGGAGAAACAGAGAACAAAACAAAACAGAACAUUUUCACAAACAUUCAGAACCCUACGAUCUUGGGAGUCUUCUGCACUCUAUAGUAGUAAUAGAUUAUGUCCAAAUCUGUUACAAAUUAUUAAACUGCAAGUGAUGUUGGCCUAUUCCAAGGAAACUGUUGGUCUCACUCUAGGGCAUGCCUAAAGGCAUUUGACCUCAGGAAUACCCAAGGCGUUUGUUCGACCGUGACGGGAAGAGGUGCAUGGCUGGCCAUGGACACUUGACAUGUUCUCAAAUCAAAGCUUCUAGUUAGGUUUCCUGUGGUGGCUAAAGUACUUUCUUUUCGGGUUCACUAUACAUUUAUUAACCAUUCUAUUUUUGUACCAUACAAAUUAUCAUUGCUGACGGUUGAAUGGCUGGAUUUGGAGAAAUGUGGUAGCCCUAAUGGAAUUAAUUAAGUGAAUAAUAUUGCCUGACAAAUGGCUCCGCGUACCAAAGAGGGCUUGAGACUUAAUUACUGAUGUCAUUUAUCUCUCUAUUUGCACCCCAACAAUAAGUGACUCGCUUCUCAUUAACGUUGGAUCAUCUUCGAAAAGGAAAAAAAGUGGCCAAAAUAUCAAGAAAGAAAAAAAAAUUGAUGUCUUCGUUCCCCACUUCAUUAUCCUGAUAAAUCAUAACAGACUCUGUUAAUUAGAUGGGCAGCUUUAACUGGCUGACUCCUGUCCAACAAUUACCUCAGAAAGAAGCACCACUGGGAACAUUUCCUUCCCUUGGGAGGACAUGAAAGAAAGUCCAUAACAGAAAAAGGGAUCAUUUCCCCAGCCGUGCUGGGGACCACAGUGGUCAGUAUGAAUUUCUAGACUGAAGGGCUGGAGCUGUUGCAGAGAUGUUGCUGAUGCGUGAUGGCGAUGGUGGGGUGACCCAUGCUGUCCUCUUAAUCUAAGACUUAGAAGAGUGGUGUCAUAGGUUGAAUUGUGUUCCCCCAAAAGACACUGAAGUCUUAAUUCUCAGCACGUGUGGAAGUGACCUUAUUUGGAAAAUAGGGUCUUUGCAGAUGAUCAAGUUAAGAUGAGGUCAUCAAUACUGGCCUAACCCAAUAUGACUGAUGUCCUUAUAAAAUGGAGAAACUUGGACACAGAGACAGACGUGCACAUAAGGAGAAUGCCAUGUGACAAGGGAGGCAAAGAUUGGGUGAUCUUUCUACAAGCCAAGGGGUGCCAAAGAUUGUCAGCAAACCGCUAGGAGUUCCGGGAGAGGCCUGGAGCAGAUCCUUCGUCUCAGCCCUCAGAAGGAACCAACCCUACGCACACCUUGAUCUCGGACUUCCAGCCUCCAGAACUGUGAGCCAAUACAUUUCUGUUGUUUCAAGCCAUCCACGUGUGGUAUUUUGUUAUGGAAGCCUGAGCAAACUAAUUCAAGCGGGUACUGGUUUCAAAGUGUCUAAAAACGCUCUCAUUGCUCUUGGGGUUUGUACAGUUCACAGAAAUGAGCCAUCUUGCUGGCCAAGGCUGCCGGCGGGGCUACUGUGAGAAGUCGGUCAGUAACCAAUACCGAUUUCUCAGUACCAGGCGCUGGAGAGAUGGUGAAGGAGACAGAUGUGGUUCCUGAUCUCCAGCAGCCAGCAGUCUGGUGGGAAGGGGAGGCAAUGAAGAUGACCUUGUACUUAAUCAGUUAAAUAUGAAUAUGUAUUCAGUGUGCAGAGGACGGACCGACGAAGCACAUCCUGGGGGAGGCACCCCAAGCUGGGCUGGAAAAAAAAAGGCUCGCAGAGGAAAGGAUGUCUAAGCUGAGACCUGAUGAGCAAGGGUUAUCUGGAUUUUAAAAAUGGGCUGUGGAAGGAGCAGGUGUGAAGGCUCUAGGGCAAGAGGAAGCAAGGAGCGUACACACAUACCCAGAGAAAUCCAAGAACAGAGCAGCUGGGGACGGCAUAGUAGCUUCCAGUUCUUUUUCUCAGCCUUCAUCUUCUCAUGCAUCAAAGGUUUACAGCACACUUAACAUGUUCUGUCCCCCGAGCUAGGGGCUGGGGGAUGCCCGUGGUGGAGACCAACACGUAAACUGCCCAUCAAGCAGCUGAUGGCCCAGGGCUGGGAAAAGAGAUGGGAGCAGACGGAGAGAACAGAGCCACCACUUCUGUCAGGACAACUCGGAGCAGCGGAGGAAGCCACCUCUCAGGUGAAUCUUGAGGAAAAGCUACAUGCAUGGGCUAUGGGAGGGAAACGGGUAAACCGAAAAUGUUAACCUGUGGUCAGAAGAAAAAGACCCUUCGGUCCCUGAUCUCUCUGGCCAAUAGUUUUCAUGUGACUGGACUUGAAGAGGUCACAUGUCACAUCCAGAAACUUUAAUUCUUUCUAAGUGUAUAAUGUGAUUCUAUUUCUCUGAAGCAGAAUUUGAGUUGCAGCUUAUCUAGUUUUCAUUCAACGACAUGGCAGGACGUUUCAGAACAUUCUACAGAACACCUUUGUGAUGGCUUCUUGUCCUUGAGGCCCCACGCCCAAAUACUUGGACCUGGGUUCCCAGGACCUACCAUGGACACCAUCUUGAAUUUAGGUUUUUCUCUCCUUGGCCAGAGUCUGAGGAAAUAAUGAAAUCUAUAGACUCAAUCCAUCCUGGGCAUAUAUUUUUGAACUCUAGCUUUGGCAGUUCUUAGGUACAGCCCAAUCAAAAGGGGCCAUUAAGGGUGCCAUUUUCAAGAUGCAUUUCUAGGUUGGAUAUUAAAGUCACUGUUUGCCGUCUCUAAUUGACUUCAAUUAUCUGUCUCUUGUGGGCCCAGGACAGAAAGUUUUGGGAAGGCAAAACUAGACUCUGAUUUUGUAGGCA